ensembl:lncRNA
CAUGUGAGCACAGGGCUUCCUGCCAUCCCACAGCUGCUCCUCAUGAACUGUGUGCUUAAAACUCAGCACAGGCGAACCACAGCUCCUGAGAGAUGGCAGACAGCAAAAUUUCUCCUCACACCUCUCUGGUCUCUCUUUUCCUCUAUCCCUCCUUUUCAGUCCCUGAAGCCUCUCAGUAGCAUCCUGCUGCUCGCUUAUCAGAGGUCAAGAGUUCACGUGGACUUCCACUUGAGUCACCGAGGUUCUGAGGUACAACCCUUCGGAGAGGUCUAAGCAAGGUGACUCCAUCUUGGUUUUGCAUCAUCCAAAGAGAAGAAAAGGGACUCACAGCAUGGCAGCAGGACCUUAUCGUCUUGCCAGGCUGUAGAUGAGAUCAGCCCUGGGAUUUCUUUGGAGGGAAUGAUGCUGAAGCUGAAACUCCAGUACUUUGGCCACCUCAUGCGAAGAGUUGACUCAUUGGAAAAGACUCUGAUGCUGGGAGGGAUUGGGGGCAGGAGGAGAAGGGGAUGACAGAGGAUGAGAUGGUUGGAUGGCAUCACUGAUUCGAUGGACGUGAGUCUGAGUGAACUCCGGGAGUUGGUGAUGGACAGGGAGGCCUGGCGUGCUGCAAUUCAUGGGGUCACAAAGAGUCGGACACGACUGAGCGACUGAACUGAACUGAUUAGAGAUGUUGAGCAUCUUUUUAUGUGCCUGAUGGUCAUCUGCAUGUCUUCUUUGGAAAAAUGUCUGUUCAGGUGUUCUGCUCCUUUUUUAGUCAGGUUGUUUGGUCUGCUAUACAAAAUCUUUUAACUUUAAUUAGGUCCUACUUGCUUGUUUUGCUUCUGUUUCCUUGGCCUUAGCAGACAAAUCUGAAAAAAUGUUGCUAUAAUUUAUCCAAAUCAUUCUGCUUAUAUUUUCUCCUAGAAGUUGUAUGGUUUCUGGUAUUACAUUUAGGUCUUUAAUUCAUAUUGAGUUUAGCUUUGUAUAUGGUGUGAGAAAAUGUUCUAAUUUCACUCUUACAUGUAGCUGUCCAGUUUUCCCAGCACCACUUAUUGAAGAAACUGUCUUUUCUCCAUUGUAAACUCUUGCCUCCUUUGUCAUAGGUUAAUUGACCAUAAGUUCAUGGAUUUAUUUCAGGACUUUCUAUUCUGUUCCAUUGUUAUGCAUCUGUUUUGAGUACUGUAACUUUGUACUAUAAUUUGAAGUCAGGGAACAUGAUAUCUCCCUCCAGCUGUGUUCUUUUUUUCUCAGAAUUGCUUUGGCUAUUCAGAGUCUUUUGUGUUUCUGUACAAAUUAAAAACUUUUGUUCUUGUUUUGUGAAAAUGCCAAUGGUAUUUUGACAGGGAUUUCGUUGAAUCUGUAGAUUGCCUUGGGAACUAUGGUUAUUUUAACAAGAUUAAUUCUUCCAAUAUAAGAACACAGUACAUCUUUCCAUCUAUUUGUGUCAUCUUCAAUUUCUUUAAUUAGUGUAUUAUUGUUUUCCAAGGAGGUCUUUCACCUCCUCAGACUUAUUCCUAGAUAUUUUACUCUUUUUAAUGUGAUGGUAAAUGCCAUUGUUUCCUUAUUUUCUUCUUUCUGAUAGUUUGUUGUUAGUGUAUGGAAAUGUGACAAAUUUCUGUGCAUUAACUUUGUAUCCUGCAACUCUUAUCAAAUUCAUUGAACUCUAGUAUUUUUUUGGUGGCAUCUUUAGGAUUUUAUAUGUAUGCAAAAAAUGACAGUUUUCCUUCUUCCUUUUUAAUUUGGAUUCCUUUUAUUUGUUCUCUGCUGUGACUAGAAUUUCCAGGACUAUGUUGAAUAAAAGUGGCAAGAGUGGGCAUCCUUGUCUUGUUCCUGAUCUUAGAGGAAGUCCUUUCAGCUUUUCACCACUGAGUAUAAUGUUAGCUCUAGGAUUAACAUAUAUGGCUCCUUAUUAUGUUGAGGUAUGUUCCCCUGUACCCACUUGUUGAGUACAGUGGAUCCAACAUCCAAUAAAUGGAUGUUGAAUUUUGUCAAAAGUCUUUCUUUGUCUAUUGAGAUGACCAUAUGGUUUUUAUUCAAUUUGUCAAUGUGGUUUAUCACAUUGAUUGAUUUGUGAAUAUUAAAAAAUCUUCUCAUCCUUGGACUAAAUCCCACUUGAUUACAAUUAUGAUCCUUUUAAUGUAUUGUUGAAUUUGACUUGCUGAUAUUUCAGGAUUCUUAUGUCUAUGUUCGUCAGUGAUACUGGACUGUAAUGUGUGUGUGUGUGUGUGUGUGUGUGUGUGUGUGUGUGAGUGUGAGUGUGAGACCUUUGCCCCGUUUUGGUAUCAGGGUGAUUCUGGCUUCAUAGAGUGAGUAUGGAAAUG